CAAAUCUUGAACAACCAUUCACAGUGAAUGAGCUCAUUUUUGCACAGGCUGGUGGUAACAGCUCUUCCAUGACAUGCAUAUAAUAAAACAGUCACAUUGCGAGUGCUUUGGGGCAGUCACAUUCACAUUGUCAUUGAACAUUUUCACAGGCUUGCAGAUAACUGAUUUUGUUAGUGUGCUAUGACAUUCAGAUUAACAGCAAACAUGAUUUUGCAUUGUUUUAAGUAACUAACCUUCCAGGCAACAUUUUACAAUGGAUGGGGCAUGCACAUCAAGUUCCAGUUUUGUAUACUCUGCUGCAGCUCUGUGGAUGUGUUAUGUUUGCCUGCUGCUGUUAUUAGAUGGUGUUAUCAGAGAAUAAUGUAUGCUGUUACCAAUUUUUGUGGUUGUGGUGUAGCCCUACCAAGAAUUAUUAAUAUUCUCAAGUGUUCUCACUUGAAGUAAUCCUUCUGCAGAAUAUAUUAAUUUUUCUUAAAUGAAGGCUGAUUGUCAACUGUUUGAAGCAUAGUCCUUUCUAUGUAUACAGCCAGCUUUAACAGUAAAGAGCUCUGCAUUUUGGGCAGUAUUUAUUUAUAGGUUUCAUAUGAUUCUCAGAAUAAACAGUGCUAAUAAGCAGUUGGUUGUUAUAACUGAUAUGCAGUGCUUUCUGUGAGAUAGAAACAGUAUUUGAAAAUGUUAUUGAGAAGUUGCAAACCCCAUGUAUUUGUAUCAGUUUAUGUACAGUACAUCAUACAUUUUCAUUCUUUUUAAGUGAGCAUGCAUUCUUUUUGCUCAUUAGCAACAUUGGGCUCUUGUAACGCAGGCCCACAGUUAAAAUAGUGUAUGCUUCACUUUUAGUAAAUAAAGUGUAUGGUAUUAUAUACAUGUACAGCCACAGAAUAUAGCAGAAUCGUGUGAAAUGUAAACAUUAAUUGUAAUUUCAGUUGACAUGUUUUGAAUUAAUUGACAACUGGUGAAUUUAAACACAAUUCGAUAUCCAUGGCUAAUACAUAAUACUGUUAGGCAUUACUUAACCCACUGGUAUAUGGAUAGUUUCCCUUGUAUUUCAGUCACAAAAUAUCUGCCAUGUUGAAGAGGUUGUUAUUUUGUUGUUUCAUGUAUAAUUGUUCUUUUUGCUAAUGUUUUACAAGUCUGCAGUUUAAGUACCUUUGCCAGUGUGUUAAGUUUUUCUGUGGACUGGUUAACCUUGUUACACAGUGUUCUGUUAUCGCAUUACAACAAAUAUUGCACAGAAGGUGGUCUUUGUCUUGUAUUCCCUUGUGUCAUUGCUGACACUCGUCAUGGAGUAAUAAGUUUCAAGAGAAGUUUUUUUAAGUAUUUAGGAUAUAUAAUUUAUUUUUAAUUACCAUACUGAAAUUUGCCAUGUUUUAUGUGGAGAAGAUUUAUCUUAGUAGGUUCUUGUGUAAUUGACCCACGUGAUGCUUCCUACGCUUGUUGAGGGGAGAGAGAAGCCAAUUCGAUUUCAACAUAGGGCCUCCUAUUCUUGCAACGAGUGUGGUGCCAAGUAUGUCCACCGCACUUCCCUCUACUCACACUUAAGUGUCCACAGGAAUGCAACCAAAUGUCCAGUGUGUAAUGUGGUUUUGAGCAGAAAGAAUUACCUUCGUCAACAUCUCAGGAUUAUACACAAGCUUGAUUAGGUUGACAUUCAGAGUGAAGGCAGACUGGGCAUGCACAACAUCACUUGACGUCCAUAUGUGUGUGACGCAUUUGGGUUGCCAUAUACAAAACCAGUACUUCACUCUGUUCACAUUGGCAAGUUUAAUCAUAGUGAAACUGCGUGUCUCAUUUGCAACAAAGUGUUUAGUCACAAGUAUCAUCUGUACCAUCACUUAAAAAAUAUUAAUGGAAUUUUGGAGGGACAUCCGUAGUUGGACGAGAGUAGAUUGAAUUUGGAAAAUAUAUACUUUGUAAUCUGUCAUUUGGUUCAGAAUCUCUAUUUUCCCAUGUGUCAGAAUUUCCAGCAAUUAAAACACAUGAACUUGUAAAUUUUCCUAAUCUCUGUACAUGAAAUGUGAGUCACUCUCUCUAAAUGAAGAACAUGGAUUGAAGAUGUUUGGAACAGGGUGCUGACCUGAAUGCACAAACGUGAGAUGGAAGGUGGGGGAAAUAAGAGGAGGCUAAAGCAAAUUACAUGGUGAAAAACUUUGAAAUACAUGCUCUUUGGCUCAUACUUUUGCGAGUAUUGAAUCAAAAUUGAUGAUUUGUUGGAACCUGUGGCACACACUGUGGAAAUGAGAAAUUUAUAAAACAAAAAUUGGAGUCAGGAAACCUUAAAUGAAAAGGCUGUGUGGGAGACCUAAGCACAGGUAGUAGGGUAACAGAAUGCAUUUUUGAGUGGCAGCAUAUGAAGGUAAUGACAACAUUGAAUUGGCUAAAUACAGGUUUCAGUUUCUAGUCUUUGUUAAUAUAAUAAUGAACUCAGGUUUCUAAAGAAAAGGGAGUUUCAUGACUUAGUAAAUGUUAACUUCUCAUGAAGGGCCAUUAUAAAUUUGGUUAAUUAGUCAGUAGUGCUGUGUUGUAAUGGUAUUUAAAGUACUGCAUCAGUUUGUGUGUGAUACAAAGAAUGGAGAUAAGUUAUAUGUUAAUUGAGCUGUUCCUUGUUAAGUGAUUAAUUUAUGUGAAAGAAUUUGAUUAGUUUAAAAUUCUAGUAAUUAUCUUUUGAGGAAUGCCAAGUCAUCCUGGUAAUUAUACUGUGUUUUCAGUAUUGUGAAACAUAUCAGACUGUGUUGCGUGCAGUACGAUGGGGUACCCAAAAGAAACCGAACUAAUUUUUUUUUGUGGGCAGAGCUUUUGUAGUACCGCGUUUUGC